ACCCCGGGCUGCUGUGGAGGCGGGGAGCUGCGAGUCCAGCCCACCCUGGUCAGUGGGCCCUGGAGAUGCCAGUGCAGACUGUCCGGAGUUCGGUGGUGCCCACCCCCGAUCCGUUGUGGGGCGAGCCCUUGAUGGGUGUCUCGCUACCUGUAAGUCACCCCCAUGAUUUCAAGACAAACAUUUAGCAAGUGCUUCUUUCCACCUGGCCAGUUUCUGCCUGUAAUGUGUUGUCGGUCUGGCUCAGUCAUCUGGAGAUACACGCGGGGCUCGCUCUUCUCAGGACGUUCCGGGCCACGGUGCGUGCCCUCCUGAUUUUGCGGGCUUGGCGUGAAACAGCCCCUGGCGCCCUGACUUCCACUCUUGGCUCCCACCACCUCCCCCCCCAAAGCCGUGUCC